CCAGGAAUGAAGAUAGACAUGCCAGUACUCAAAUCCCAAGUCCAUCCCUUAUUAACUGUGUGACCUAAGGGACAUUUCUUAUCUUUCAACCACGGUCUUCCUGGAGAGAUGACACUUGCUUGGACUGGAGGAAUCAGUUAGUGACAUUUGGAGGAGAAGAGAGCACACUACACUUCAAGAACAGCAUGAGCUGAACCAAAACACAGAGAAGUCUGCUCAAGAAUUUCUCUAGAAGGAGAGUAGGAACGAGGACAGAACCUUUAGAACAUUGAUGCGUAAGAGUAAAUGGAAAAAGAAGUGGUUGCCAAGGACAGAGCGAAGGAUGGGCCAGAGGGGAAGUUGGGUCAAGCACUCAAAAAGAUGCAUCACUGAAACCAUCUCUACUGUUUAGAUCUUCUAAUAAUUGCCAAAUUUAAAAAAAGGGCAAAGUGAUUUUACCUGCUAAAUUUACUCUCUUUGUUCUCUGGUCUUGCAAUAAGCCAGAAAAAAAAAGCCAAACAACAACAACAACAACAACAACAACAACAAAACACACACACACACCAAGAAUGUAAUAUGGACCACAAUUUCAUAAUGUAUUAAAUGUAUGCAGUUUAUUACUUCCAAGGACCUGUACUUUUGUUACAGUGUUCUUAGUAUUACAUGCAGGUGACCCUAUUAAAUAGUGCUGCACCUGCCAGCAUUCUUUACAACCCAGCCAUCGCCAUGGCCUCCAGACCUUCUCCCGAUUCCCAGGACACCUGAGACAUCAUUAAUUCCUCUUACAAACUCCCAGAAAGUUCAUGGGUUUAUUCACUCAAGAGAUACUUAUCAAGACACUGGGCAUACAGCAUACUGAACAAAGCCUAUCAUCCCCUGCCCUCCUGGUGCAUUCAUUCUACUGGGAAUUUGUGUGAAAUCAGACUCCACGAACUUCCCAGGAUAGACUGGAACCUGCAGACCUAAACAGGAUUCCUCACAGACUUCAAUAAUCUCCAAAACAGCUGCUCCAAGUUUCAACACAGAUCCUAAUUUCUUGGAGUUUGGGGGACUCUGGAAUGGACCAGAGAUGUGGAACCUUCUCUUACAAUGGGACUAGCAGAAAUAAAGUCAUGAUAAUAAA